rnacentral:rRNA from 1 species
UACAGGGGGUGCAAACGUUGCUCGGAAUCAUUGGGCGUAAAGCGCACGUAGGUGGUCGUUUAGGUCGGAUGUGAAAGCCCUCGGCUCAACCGAGGAAGUGCAUCCGAAACCGGACGGCUCGAGUACGGGAGAGGGUGAGCGGAAUUCCCGGAGUAGAGGUGAAAUUCGUAGAUACCGGGAGGAACACCAGUGGCGAAGGCGGCCACCUGGCCCGUUACUGACGCUGAGGUGCGAAAGCGUGGGGAGCAAACAGG